rnacentral:rRNA from 1 species
UACGUAGGGUGCGAGCGUUGUCCGGAAUUAUUGGGCGUAAAGGGCUCGUAGGCGGUUUGUCGCGUCGGGAGUGAAAACCAUGGGCUUAACUCAUGGCUUGCUUCCGAUACGGGCAGACUAGAGGCAUGCAGGGGAGAACGGAAUUCCUGGUGUAGCGGUGAAAUGCGUAGAUAUCGGGAGGAACACCAGUGGCGAAGGCGGCUUCCUGGCCUGUUCUUGACGCUGAGGCGCGAAAGCUAGGGGAGCAAACGGG